rnacentral:rRNA from 1 species
CACGUAGGCAACCUUGCCUUUAAGACUGGGAUAACUAUCGGAAACGAUAGCUAAGACCGGAUAACUGGUUUUCUCGCAUGAGAGAAUUAUGAAACACGGAGCAAUCUGUGGCUUAAAGAUGGGCCUGCGGCGCAUUAGCUAGUUGGUAGGGUAACGGCCUACCAAGGCGACGAUGCGUAGCCGACCUGAGAGGGUGAACGGCCACACUGGGACUGAGACACGGCCCAGACUCCUACGGGAGGCAGCAGUAGGGAAUCUUCCGCAAUGGACGCAAGUCUGACGGAGCAACGCCGCGUGAGUGAUGAAGGUUUUCGGAUCGUAAAGCUCUGUUGCCCUAGACGAACAGCAAGGAGAGUAACUGCUCUUUGUGUGACGGUAUAGGAGAAGAAAGCCCCGGCUAACUACGUGCCAGCAGCCGCGGUAAUACGUAGGGGGCAAGCGUUGUCCGGAAUUAUUGGGCGUAAAGCGCGCGCAGGCGGUCGUUUAAGUCUGGUGUUUAAGCCCGGGGCUCAACCCCGGUUCGCAUCGGAAACUGGAUGACUUGAGUGUAAGAGAGGAAAGUGGAAUUCCA